AUACGUAGGUGGCAAGCGUUGUCCGGAAUUAUUGGGCGUAAAGGGUGCGUAGGCGGUUUUUUAAGUGGGAUGUGAAAUACCUAGGCUUAACUUAGGAAUGGCAUUCCAAACUGGAAGACUAGAGUGCAGGAGAGGAAAGUGGAAUUCCCAGUGUAGCGGUGAAAUGCGUAGAGAUUGGGAGGAACACCAGUGGCGAAGGCGACUUUCUGGACUGUAACUGACGCUGAGGCACGAAAGCGUGGGGAGCAAACAGGAUUAGAUACCCUGGUAGUCCACGCUGUAAACGAUGAGUACUAGGUGUGGGGGGCGAAGCCCUCUGUGCCGCAGUUAACACAAUAAGUACUCCGCCUGGGAAGUACGAUCGCAAGAUUAAAACUCAAAGGAAUUGACGGGG
rnacentral:rRNA from 1 species